AUUGAACGCUGGCGGCAUGCCUUACACAUGCAAGUCGAACGGCAGCACGGGAGCAAUCCUGGUGGCGAGUGGCGAACGGGUGAGUAAUAUAUCGGAACGUGCCCAGUCGUGGGGAUAACGUAGCGAAAGCUACGCUAAUACCGCAUACGAUCUAAGGAUGAAAGCGGGGGGAUCGCAAGACCUCGCGCGAUUGGAGCGGCCGAUAUCAGAUUAGGUAGUUGGUGAGGUAAAGGCUCACCAAGCCAACGAUCUGUAGCUGGUCUGAGAGGACGACCAGCCACACUGGAACUGAGACACGGCCCAGACUCCUACGGGAGGCAGCAGUGGGGAAUUUUGGACAAUGGGCGCAAGCCUGAUCCAGCAAUGCCGCGUGCAGGAUGAA
rnacentral:rRNA from 1 species